AGUUAAGUGACUAAGCGCACAAGGUGGAUGCCUUGGCAAUCAGAGGCGAAGAAGGACGUGCUAAUCUGCGAAAAGCUUGGAUGAGUCGAUAAGAGGCGUUUAAUCCAAGAUGUCCGAAUGGGGAAACCCAGUAGGUGAAGAACCUACUAUCACCCAGUGAAUACAUAGCUGUGUGAGGCAAACCGGGAGAACUGAAACAUCUAAGUACCCCGAGGAAAAGAAAUCAACCGAGAUUUCGUUAGUAGCGGCGAGCGAACGCGAAAGAGCCAGUUAGUGAUAGCAGUAAAGUUAGGGGAAUGUUCUGGGAAGGACAAUCGUAGAGGGUGAUAAUCCCGUACCUUAAAACUCCAUUGUGGUACUAGGCUAACAACAAGUAGGGCGGGACACGUGAUAUCCUGUUUGAAGAUGGGGGGACCAUCCUCCAAGGCUAAAUACUCCUGAUUGACCGAUAGUGAACCAGUACUGUGAAGGAAAGGUGAAAAGAACCCCGGCGAGGGGAGUGAAAUAGAACCUGAAACCUUGUGCGUACAAGCAGUGGGAGCAAGAGUAAUCUUGUGACUGCGUACCUUUUGUAUAAUGGGUCAGCGACUUAUAUUUUGUAGCAAGGUUAACUGAAUAAGGGAGCCGUAGGGAAACCGAGUCUUAACUGGGCGUGUAGUUGCAAGGUAUAGACCCGAAACCCGGUGAUCUAGCCAUGGGCAGGUUGAAGGUUGGGUAACACUAACUGGAGGACCGAACCGACUAAUGUUGAAAAAUUAGCGGAUGACUUGUGGCUGGGGGUGAAAGGCCAAUCAAACCGGGAGAUAGCUGGUUCUCCCCGAAAUCUAUUUAGGUAGAGCCUUGAGCGGACACCUUCGGGGGUAGAGCACUGUUUCGGCUAGGGGUCCAUCCCGGAUUACCAACCCGAUGCAAACUGCGAAUACCGAAGAGUGAUACUCAGGAGACACACGGUGGGUGCUAACGUCCAUCGUGGAGAGGGAAACAACCCAGACCGCCAGCUAAGGUCCCAAAGUCUAUAUUAAGUGGGAAACGAAGUGGGAAGGCUUAGACAGCUAGGAUGUUGGCUUAGAAGCAGCCACCAUUUAAAGAAAGCGUAAUAGCUCACUAGUCGAGUCGGCCUGCGCGGAAGAUGUAACGGGGCUCAAAUAUAGCACCGAAGCUGCGGCAUCAGACGAAAGUCUGUUGGGUAGGGGAGCGUUGUGUAAGUCGAUGAAGGUGGAUUGAGAAGUCUGCUGGAGAUAUCACAAGUGCGAAUGCUGACAUAAGUAACGAUAAAACGAGUGAAAAACUCGUUCGCCGGAAGACCAAGGGUUCCUGUCCAACGUUAAUCGGGGCAGGGUGAGUCGGCCC
rnacentral:rRNA from 1 species